CCUACGGGAGGCAGCAGUGGGGAAUUUUGCGCAAUGGGGGAAACCCUGACGCAGCAACGCCGCGUGGAGGAUGAAGUCCCUUGGGACGUAAACUCCUUUCGACCGGGAAGAUACUGACGGUNCNNGAUGAAGAAGCACCGGCUAACUCUGUGCCAGCAGCCGCGGUAAU
rnacentral:rRNA from 1 species